UUGCUUUUGGGAUGAACAGGUCCCUUACAUCCAAUCAUCAUUCAUCCUAUACUUAAUCUGCAUUGCUGGUAUAUGUUUUGCUGAUUAUACGGGGAUGAAACAAAA